rnacentral:rRNA from 1 species
UGAAGAAUAUUGCGCAAUGGGGGCAACCCUGACGCAGCAACGCCGCGUGAAGGAUGAAGGUUUUCGGAUUGUAAACUUCUUUUAUCAAGGACGAAGGACGUGACGGUACUUGAUGAAUAAGCCACGGCUAACUACGUGCCAGCAGCCGCGGUAAUACGUAGGUGGCAAGCGUUAUCCGGAUUUACUGGGUGUAAAGGGCGAGUAGGCGGGCAGACAAGUCAGAUGUGAAAUCUGGGGGCUUAACCCCCUAAACUGCAUUUGAAACUGUAGGUCUUGAGUGAUGGAGAGGCAGGCGGAAUUCCCGGUGUAGCGGUGGAAUGCGUAGAUAUCGGGAGGAACACCAGUGGCGAAGGCGGCCUGCUGGACAUUAACUGACGCUGAGGAGCGAAAGCGUGGGGAGCAAACAGGAUUAGAUACCC